rnacentral:rRNA from 1 species
CAGUAGCCACGGUAAUACAGAGGGUGCGAGCGUUAAUCGGAUUUACUGGGCGUAAAGCGUGCGUAGGCGGCUUUUUAAGUCGGAUGUGAAAUCCCUGAGCUUAACUUAGGAAUUGCAUUCGAUACUGGGAAGCUAGAGUAUGGGAGAGGAUGGUAGAAUUCCGGGUGUAGCGGUGAAAUGCGUAGAGAUCUGGAGGAAUACCGAUGGCGAAGGCAGCCAUCUGGCCUAAUACUGACGCUGAGGUACGAAAGCAUGGGGAGCAAACAGGAUUAGAUACCCCCGUAGUCCCUGUCUCUUAUAC